GAGGCCAGCCAGCAGGAGGUUGUCCCAAGGAUGUAGUUUAGAGUGGUGGGGCACAUCCCCGAUGUUAUGCUUUCCUAUCCAGACUUGAGGGUGAGUCCUCCGAUACAGUUAUCAUAGAUCACGGUGUCGGACCUUGUGAGUAGAGUCGGGUGGCUGCCUUCAGUCCAUUGGAGACCCAAGGUAGUCCUGCAGGCGUCUGCAGGCCCUGGCGUCCACUUCUAUCAUAUUUCUAUUAUGUUUAUCUACUUUCGAAACAGAUAUACAUUUUUUUGUUCAGACCAUUGUUUGUAGUAUUCAUAGACCGUUCGUGAGUUGUGAACCAGUUCUGGGUGGAGUUUUAUUAUGGUUUCGUUAUUAGUAUUAAGAUAAUA